rnacentral:tRNA from 3 species
GCGUCCGUAGCUCAGUAGGAUAGAGCAGGAGCCUUCUAAGCUCUUGGCCGGGGGUUCGAUUCCUCCCGGGCGCACCA